rnacentral:rRNA from 1 species
UUCCUCCUACGGGAGGCAGCAGUGGGGAAUAUUGCACGAUGGGGGAAACCCUGAUGCAGCGACGCCGCGUGAGUGAAGAAGUAUUUCGGUAUGUAAAGCUCUAUCAGCAGGGAAGAAAUAGCGACCUUUGGGUCGCCAGACGGUACCUGAUUAAGAAGCCCCGGCUAACUACGUGCCAGCAGCCGCGGUAAUACGUAGGGGGCAAGCGUUAUCCGGAUUUACUGGGUGUAAAGGGAGCGUAGACGGUUACGCAAGUCUGGAGUGAAAGGCGGGGGCCCAACCCCCGGACUGCUUUGGAAACUGUA